rnacentral:rRNA from 1 species
GACGAACCGUGCAAACGUUGUUCGGAAUCACUGGGCUUAAAGGGAGCGUAGGCGGUUGUGUAAGUCCGUGGUGAAAUCCUCCAGCUCAACUGGAGAACUGCCUCGGAAACUAUGCAUCUAGAAUGAGGUAGGGGCAUGCGGAACGGAUGGUGGAGCGGUGAAAUGCGUUGAUAUCAUUCGGAACUCCGGUGGCGAAGGCGGCAUGCUGGACCUCUAUUGACGCUGAGGCUCGAAAGCCAGGGGAGCAAACGGG